GACGAACGUUGGCGGCGUGCUUAAUACAUGCAAGUCAACUGAAGCAGUGGUAGCAAUCUCGCUGUGGAGGUGGCGCACGGGUGAGUAACACGUAGGUAAUCUGCCUUCAGGUCUGGCAUAACUCCGUGAAACCGGGGCUAAUAGCAGAUGAUGCAGCGGCUCGACAUCGAGACAGUUGUUAAAGCUAUGGCGCCUGAAGAUGAGCCUGCGUCUGAUUAGCUAGUUGGCGGGGUAACGGCCCACCAAGGCAACGAUCAGUAGCUGGUCUGAGAGGAUGAUCAGCCACACUGGAACUGAGACACGGUCCAGACUCCUACGGGAGGCAGCAGUAAGGAAUAUUGCUCAAUGGGAGAAAUCCUGAAGCAGCAACGCCGCGUGAGGGACGAAGGGCUUUUGCUUGUAAACCUCUGUAGUGAGAGAAAAAAAUCCCAAUCUUUGGGACAUGAUGGUAUCUCAAAAGUAAGCCCCGGCUAACUACGUG
rnacentral:rRNA from 1 species